rnacentral:rRNA from 1 species
GACGAACGCUGGCGGCGUGCUUGACACAUGCAAGUCGAACGGUAAGGCCCUUCGGGGUACACGAGUGGCGAACGGGUGAGUAACACGUGGGUGAUCUGCCCUGCACUUCGGGAUAAGCCUGGGAAACUGGGUCUAAUACCGGAUAGGACUCCUGGCUUCAUGGUUGGGGGUGGAAAGCUUUUGCGGUGUGGGAUGGGCCCGCGGCCUAUCAGCUUGUUGGUGGGGUAAUGGCCUACCAAGGCGACGACGGGUAGCCGGCCUGAGAGGGUGACCGGGCACACUGGGACUGAGCUACGGCCCAGACUCCUACGGGAGGCAGCAGUGGGGAAUAUUGCACAAUGGGCGCAAGCCUGAUGCAGCGACGCCGCGUGAGGGAUGACGGCCUUCGGGUUGUAAACCUCUUUCAGCUAUGACGAAGCGCAAGUGACGGUAGUAGCAGAAGAAGGACCGGCCAACUACGUGCCAGCAGCAGCCGCGG